rnacentral:lncRNA from 1 species
UCCACCAGGGCCCGCUAUCCACAGGAACCUUUCACAGCAGCCAAUACCUGCAGGGCAACAAAGAAUCAAAUGAGAGCGAGACAAGCUGGGAAUGAAGUCCUGGUUGCCAGAUGGGAGCUUGAAAAUACAGUAAGAUGAGUCAAAAAGUGGCCAAGGAGGGCCCCAGGCUCUCCAAGAACCAGAAGUUCUCAGAGCACUUCAGCAUCCACUGCUGCCCACCCUUCACCUUCCUCAACUCCAAGCGUGAGAUCGUGGACCGCAAGUACAGCAUCUGCAAGAGCGGUUGCUUUUACCAGAAGAAGGAGGAGGACUGGAUCUGCUGUGCCUGCCAGAAGACCAGAUUGAGAAGGAGGAGCAGGUCAACCCCAAGAAAAAAGUGACCGAGAAGGGACUUCUCGUGAAUGGACAGCCUCUGCUUGUGGAUUUACUGCUUCACCGCAACCCAUCUGCCCUCAGACUUAUCUGGCCUCGAGUAUGACGCAGGGGUGGACACCUGCUGAUAUAACAACUACAGAUGCCCUCAGUCCCCAUGGUGUGGGAGCCUUAGGGCAGCCUGCCUGGAGCACUUGGACGAUGCCACUCCAUCACCUCCCUCUAUAACCGCCGAAGAGGCAUCUCUGUCCACCUUCUGACCCUCCAUGGUUGUUCAGUCUGAAGAUUCCUGUGUCUUCAGGGAUGUGCAAAACAAGGUCAUGGUGUGCGACCAUCCAAAUGGCAAAUAUAAAAAAGAAAUUGUCAAGUGUUGGCGGUGACGCAAGAAAAAUCCUAGAAGCCACAGAUGGGGAUUUAUACACUGUCGCAACACCGUUGAGAUGUACUCUGGGGACACUAUCAAGGCAAAGUAUCUUAAAACCUCUAAUCAAGCGACUGUAAUU